rnacentral:rRNA from 1 species
CCUCCUUUUUUCCUCCUUUUUGCCUCUUGCCCCAUGGGGGCACCCCUGCUGCAGCGACGCCGCGUGAGUGAAGAAGUAAUUCGUUAUGUAAAGCUCUAUCAGCAGGGAAGAAAAUGACGGUACCUGAGUAAGAAGCCCCGGCUAACUACGUGCCAGCAGCCGCGGUAAUACGUAGGGGGCAAGCGUUAUCCGGAUUUACUGGGUGUAAAGGGAGCGUAGACGGCAGUGCAAGUCUGGAGUGAAAGGCGGGGGCUCAACCCCCGGACUGCUCUGGAAACUGUACGGCUGGAGUGCAGGAGAGGUAAGUGGAAUUCCUAGUGUAGCGGUGAAAUGCGUAGAUAUUAGGAGGAACACCAGUGGCGAAGGCGGCUUACUGGACUGUAACUGACGUUGAGGCUCGAAAGCGUGGGGAGCAAACAGGAUUAGAUACCCUGGUAGUC